rnacentral:rRNA from 1 species
CAGUCGCCGCGGUAAUACGAAGGGGGCUAGCGUUGCUCGGAAUCGCUGGGCGUAAAGGGUGCGUAGGCGGGUCUUUAAGUCAGGGGUGAAAUCCUGGAGCUCAACUCCAGAACUGCCUUUGAUACUGAAGAUCUUGAGUUCGGGAGAGGUGAGUGGAACUGCGAGUGUAGAGGUGAAAUUCGUAGAUAUUCGCAAGAACACCAGUGGCGAAGGCGGCUCACUGGCCCGAUACUGACGCUGAGGCACGAAAGCGUGGGGAGCAAACAGGAUUAGAUACCCCGGUAGUCCCUGUCUCUUAUAC